rnacentral:rRNA from 1 species
GCGGCAGGCCUAACACAUGCAAGUCGAGCGCGCCCUUCGGGGUGAGCGGCGGACGGGUGAGUAACGCGUGGGAACGUGCCCUUUGCUGCGGAAUAGCCACUGGAAACGGUGAGUAAUACCGCAUGAGCCCUUCGGGGGAAAGAUUUAUCGGCAAGGGAUCGGCCCGCGUUGGAUUAGGUAGUUGGUGGGGUAAUGGCCUACCAAGCCGACGAUCCAUAGCUGGUUUCAGAGGAUGAUCAGCCACACUGGGACUGAGACACGGCCCAGACUCCUACGGGAGGCAGCAGUGGGGAAUCUUAGACAAUGGGCGCAAGCCUGAUCUAGCCAUGCCGCGUGAGUGACGAAGGCCCUAGGGUCGUAAAGCUCUUUCGCCUGUGAAGAUAAUGACGGUAGCAGGUAAAGAAACCCCGGCUAACUCCGUGCCAGCAGCCGCGGUAAUACGGAGGGGGUUAGCGUUGUUCGGAAUUACUGGGCGUAAAGCGCGCGUAGGCGGACCAUCAAGUUGGGGGUGAAAUCCCGGGGCUCAACCCCGGAACU